GACGAACGCUGGCGGCGUGCCUAAUACAUGCAAGUAGAACGCUGAGGAGAGGAGCUUGCUCUUCUUGGAUGAGUUGCGAACGGGUGAGUAACGCGUAGGUAACCUGCCUGGUAGCGGGGGAUAACUAUUGGAAACGAUAGCUAAUACCGCAUAAAAUGGAUUAUCGCAUGAUAAUCCAUUGAAAGGUGCAAAUGCAUCACUACCAGAUGGACCUGCGUUGUAUUAGCUAGUUGGUGGGGUAACGGCUCACCAAGGCGACGAUACAUAGCCGACCUGAGAGGGUGAUCGGCCACACUGGGACUGAGACACGGCCCAGACUCCUACGGGAGGCAGCAGUAGGGAAUCUUCGGCAAUGGACGGAAGUCUGACCGAGCAACGCCGCGUGAGUGAAGAAGGUUUUCGGAUCGUAAAGCUCGGUUGUAAGAGAAGAACGAGUGUGAGAGUGGAAAGUUCACACUGUGACGGUAUCUUACCAGAAAGGGACGGCUAACUACGUG
rnacentral:rRNA from 1 species